rnacentral:rRNA from 1 species
UACAGAGGUGGCAAGCGUUGUUCGGAAUUACUGGGCGUAAAGGGCGCGUAGGCGGUCUUGUAAGUCCUGUGUGAAAUCCCUCGGCUCAACUGAGGAACUGCACGGGAUACUGCGAGACUUGAGUUCGGGAGAGGGAAGCGGAGUUCCGGGUGUAGCGGUGAAAUGCGUAGAUAUCCGGAGGAACACCGGUGGCGAAGGCGGCUUCCUGGACCGAUUACUGACGCUGAGGCGCGAAAGCUAGGGGAGCAAACGGG